rnacentral:lncRNA from 1 species
UAUGCUCGAUGAAGAGAGUGGCUAAUCUCAUAAGCCACUUAUAUAAGAUACUAAUAUGAGGAUAUGGGUGCUCAUUAGAGAAUGAGUUCACUGAAUUAAUCUAACUUAAGAAAUAUCUUAUAGAAUCUACUUAUCCGUCAAAAGAUAUUUUCUUAUAGUAGGAGUUGUGCAUGUAAUCUUUUGACUUGAGACUAUCAUAGAACCUUGUAUACAUGAAUCUAUAUUUUUAUUCAUACUCAUUCAUAGCUUAGUCAUGUAUGGGGUG